CCGACUUUAGCUCAGUUGGUAGAGCGGAAGACUGUAGUUUGCUAGCUGUUAUCUUUAGGUCGCUGGUUCGAAUCCGGCAAGUCGGA
rfam:Erythranthe guttata cultivar DTN x IM62 scaffold_29_contig_23, whole genome shotgun sequence.